rnacentral:rRNA from 1 species
GGAGGUGGCUCGUGCUUCUACUGCAGUCGAGCGGACAGAAGGGAGCUUGCUCCCGGAUGUUAGCGGCGGACGGGUGAGUAACACGUGGGUAACCUGCCUGUAAGACUGGGAUAACUCCGGGAAACCGGAGCUAAUACCGGAUAGUUCCUUGAACCGCAUGGUUCAAGGAUGAAAGACGGUUUCGGCUGUCACUUACAGAUGGACCCGCGGCGCAUUAGCUAGUUGGUGAGGUAACGGCUCACCAAGGCGACGAUGCGUAGCCGACCUGAGAGGGUGAUCGGCCACACUGGGACUGAGACACGGCCCAGACUCCUACGGGAGGCAGCAGUAGGGAAUCUUCCGCAAUGGACGAAAGUCUGACGGAGCAACGCCGCGUGAGUGAUGAAGGUUUUCGGAUCGUAAAGCUCUGUUGUUAGGGAAGAACAAGUGCAAGAGUAACUGCUUGCACCUUGACGGUACCUAACCAGAAAGCCACGGCUAACUACGUGCCAGCAGCCGCGGUAAUACGUAGGUGGCAAGCGUUGUCCGGAAUUAUUGGGCGUAAAGGGCUCGCAGGCGGUUUCUUAAGUCUGAUGUGAAAGCCCCCGGCUCAACCGGGGAGGGUCAUUGGAAACUGGGAAACUUGAGUGCAGAAGAGGAGAGUGGAAUUCCACGUGUAGCGGUGAAAUGCGUAGAGAUGUGGAGGAACACCAGUGGCGAAGGCGACUCUCUGGUCUGUAACUGACGCUGAGGAGCGAAAGCGUGGGGAGCGAACAGGAUUAGAUACCCUGGUAGUCCACGCCGUAACGAUGAGUGCUAAG